rnacentral:lncRNA from 1 species
AAAUCCUCUGAAUUUAUUCUAGAGGCCUGGCAGUCCAGCUCUGAGCUCACGGUAGUUGUGACUGAGAGAGAAAAAAUGGUCUGUUUCCCUAUCUCUCCCCUACAGGUCUAACAAUGCACCUGGCUGGAUCAGGAACAUCCACUUUUUCUCCAAAUGAAAGGUUACACACAGGUGUUUGCUGUGCGUCCUCAGACCACCUCAGCUCCUCCUUCCCUACACCUGGGACUCUUCUGCGCAGACUUGGCUUCAAACAAGGCUCACGGUUUUUCCUGGCAUUUGCUUUUCUGGCUUAGUGAGUGCACAUUCAAUAUCUUUUUCUUCUUCUCUUGAAAGCACUGUCUUCAGUCUCCUCACUUGUCCCUUUCUCCCCUGGCAAGUGUAAUGCUAUCAACAUUUGAAAGUGGCCUGACUCGCUCCUGUCUGGUAAAUGGCCUUGCUGCUGAAUUUCUGUAGAACUGUGCAGAAACUAGAGCAGGGGCUAAAGAGAGCUGCUCUCUUGGGGCUCAGAUGCCCCUCCUGGGGCCCCACCUCACGCUAGGGGCUAGGAGGGGGUGGGACCUGAAGUUUCCUUCCUAAAUUUGAGCAAUGACUCCGUGUGACCUUAGCAACCCUGAACUUUGCUCUGCUUCUGUUUAGCAUCUGUUAAGUA